rnacentral:rRNA from 1 species
CACGUAGGGGCCAAGCGUUGUCCGGAUUUAUUGGGCGUAAAGAGCUCGUAGGCGGUUUGUUGCGUCGGCUGUGAAAUCCCGAGGCUCAACCUCGGGUCUGCAGUCGAUACGAGCAAACUAGAGUGUUGCAGGGGAGACUGGAAUUCCUGGUGUAGCGGUGAAAUGCGCAGAUAUCAGGAGGAACACCGGUGGCGAAGGCGGGUCUCUGGGCCGAUACUGACGCUGAGGAGCGAAAGCGUGGGGAGCGAACAGG